rnacentral:rRNA from 1 species
AUGGACGGUCUGUUCAGCUUCAGCACCAUAAAGGAGUUCGUGGGGUUUGGGUUGGAGAUCAUCAGCGCGCUGGACAAGGCCGAACACAACGCGGAGGACUGCCGCAGGAUACGCGACCUCCUGCUCAGCCUGAGGGCCAUCGCCAAGCAACUGCAGGAGUCGCCCAAGAUCAUGGAGGACAACUUGAUGAGGGGCACGGCGGAGGGCCUACGGAAGGCCCUGCAGCGCGCGUCCGAGUUUGUCGCCAAGUGCGAGCGCAAGGGGCUCCUCAGCCGUGCUUUUAAUGCCAAAGGCAUCGCCGAGAAGCUGCGCGGGGUCUGCCUCGAUGUGCUGCUCAACAUCAACGCCGUGCUGCUUGCCAACAGUGCCUUGAACACCUCGCUGCUGGCCAAUCUUGAGGAAAAUAUGGCUCAGCUCCGCGCAGACUUCACCUCUGCCAUCUCAAUGUUGGCCAAGAUUCUGCAGAUUGUUGAUCUGCCACAAGAGGUGACAAAAUUGGUGGAGGACUACCAGAUCAGUUCUCAAACUAAAAACAAAAGGGAGACAAAGAAAACAGAUGUACCUAGUUCUCAAAACAAAAACAAAGGGGAGGCAAAGAAAACAGAUGUUGCCAGGCCGGAAGGGAAGAAUCAAAAGAAAAACAAGAAACUAGGGCGUAUCACGGUGGUGCCAGAUGCUUCCUUACCAGAUGGCUUACCUGAGUCCGCUUCAACGGACAGUAUGGGUGAGGAAGGCUCUAGUACUAUUGUUGCUGCACGGCCCGAUGUUGAUCUGCCAGAAGAGGUGGAAAAAUUGGUGGAGGUCGACCAGAUCAGUCCUCAAAUUAAAAAUAAAGGGAAGGCAAAGGAAAGAGAUGUUGCCAGGCUGGAAGUAAAGAUUCAGAGAAACAAGAAACCAGGGGGCUUAGCUGAGUUCGUUUCAGCGGACAGUGUGGUUAGACAAGGCUCUAGUACUGUUAUUAUCAAUAAGAUAGACCCCCAUUCCUCUGAGACUAGCAAGAUGCUCGAGGUCUACCUGCAGCAGCUUCUCUUCCCCUUGGAGCCAAAAAACAAGGAAACUACUGGAUGCCCAGUGGCCCUAACCAACAAUACAAACGAUCACGUUGGCAUCUUGAUUAAACCAAUAAAUGGGAAAUUUACAGAACCAGAGAUAAUGAAGCCCCAUUCGACUUUGGUUGUGUAUGCGACAAUGAAGAUGCAUGCACAACCUCCCAAAGACACGGUCAAGUUUGAGGUGCUCAUGAUUAUCGUACAGUCGGAGGGAGACCACAGAAAAUUGAAGGCAUUCAUUGUUGACAAGCUGAAUAUGGACAGUGGCUUUAUGGUGCAUGUUAAGAACCUUAAGGAAGAGGUGUAUCGGGCAAUGCUGACACCUAUCACUUGUGACCCAGCAAGCUGCUGCCAGAUCAUAUCAAGAUCGAUAGAGAAAAUAAACUUGGUGACAUCCAUUGAUGCACACCCCACUAAGCCAUGGAUUGUGACGGGUCAUGAGGGGGGGAAUUUUUCCAUUUGGGACUACCAGAAGCAGGAAACUGUGAUGAAGUUGCAGGUCAAUGAGGUGCCAGACAAGACUACACUCAUGUUCCAUGCCUUGUCUCAGCGCAUCAAACUGAGGCCUCCCAAACAUUCUGUUUUUCAGUCAAAUUUAUCGCUGAAAGGAAAUGGUUGGUAG